rnacentral:rRNA from 1 species
GGGGAAUAUUGGACAAUGGGCGAAAGCCUGAUCCAGCGACGCCGCGUGGGUGAAGAAGGCCUUCGGGUUGUAAAGCCCUUUAAGCCGGGACGAAAAAGCUGCACCUAACACGUGCGGCUUUGACGGUACCUGCAGAAGAAGCCCCGGCCAACUACGUGCCCGCAGCCGCGGUAAUACGUAGGGGGCGAGCGUUGUCCGGAUUUAUUGGGCGUAAAGAGCUCGUAGGCGGUUCGAUAAGUCGGAUGUGAAAUCUCCACGCUCAACGUGGAGGGGCCAUUCGAUACUGUCGUGACUCGAGUCCGGUAGGGGAGUGUGGAAUUCCCGGUGUAGCGGUGAAAUGCGCAGAGAUCGGGAGGAACACCCGUAGCGAAGGCGGCACUCUGGGCCGGUACUGACGCUGAGGAGCGAAAGCGUGGGGAGCAAA